rnacentral:misc_RNA from 1 species
GGCUGAUCCCACUUUCUCUUUUUCCUUUGCCUCGAUUGUGAAGCAUCUGUGUUCGCAGUGGACUCUUCCGAGGAAGCCCUAGUGCUAGUCUCCUCUGUCAUGAUGUUUUUUCUUGGUAUAUUAGGUUUCCGCCCGAAAAUUUUGAAGUUUUUUUUUUCUCUUUUAUAGGUGGCGGCGGUGGAAGAGGAAUCCGGGGAGAGGAGGUGGCGCGGUGAAUUCUUUUACCUAUUCGUGGUAGAGUGGCAUUGGGUGUGGGACUCGUGAGAGGUGUAGACGUAUGGACAGCCAAUUGCUGUACGACUCGUUGAGGACAGAAGAAUUA